GUGUCUACUUGAUCCUAACCAUUCAUUCUCUUAUAAAUAGAACCAUGGUGGAAGAUGCAAUACUCAUUAAGCUUCACUCACUCACACACCUACAACCAAGAGAGAAAAUUGUGAGAUUUGUGUAGUUUUGUGUGGUUCAAGACUUGAAGUGUGUGCUAAGAAGUAUUUUGGAAAGAAGUUUAAAGGAACUACACGAAGAAGAGUUUACUGAUGCAGAUCUAGAAGAGGAAGGCAUGGACUCAUAUGCCAGUUUUAAUGGUUUUUGAAACCAUUACUGAAGUAAUAUGUGCUAGCUUAGAAAUUGCUAGGCAUAUUUAUGUGUGCUUUAUUUCAAGGUUUGUAAUAAU